ensembl:lncRNA
CAGUAUGGUCCUGAGAUAACACAGAGUCAUAUAGAUUGGUUCUAGAUUAACAAAUCCAAACAUCAGCCUGACCUACCAAGUUCCAUCACUAAACCAUGUCUCAUUAGUGCCACAUCCACAGGUCACGUCUCUUAAACGUGUACAGGAAUGGGGAUUCCAUCACUUCUUUGGGCAGUAACAUGGUGAUACAGACAUACAUGAUCUCACAACUGAACAGAAAAAUGUCAGAUUGGUGCACUUGUCCUCUACAGGAAAGUGUUGAAGAUAUGUUGUGAAAUUUCACACCCUAACUCUAAAACUGAUAUAAAGACUUCCAGGUAAAAACAUCCAGCAGUUUAUUCCUAUUACUGAGAAAACAAGAAUUGUUCCUGUCAUCUGAAACAGUUGUACAUGUACAUCCGUUCCUAGGAGUAAAAAGAUAAAAGAAAAAAGAAACAGAGAAAUCUUGAAGUAAAUACAGAAACGUAAAAGAGAGAAGAGGAGCUGCCUUAUUACUUGUGCAUGAGUUCAAGCAAUGGCUGCAGAGCUGCCACACCAGGUGUAUGAAUCCUUCCUUGUUUUCUG